rnacentral:rRNA from 1 species
CCUACGGGAGGCAGCAGUCGGGAAUAUUGCACAAUGGAGGAAACUCUGAUGCAGUGACGCCGCGUGCAGGAAGAAGGUUUUCGGAUUGUAAACUGCUUUAGACAGGGAAGAAACAAGACAGUACCUGUAGAAUAAGCUCCGGCUAACUACGUGCCAGCAGCCGCGGUAAUACGUAGGGAGCAAGCGUUAUCCGGAUUUAUUGGGUGUAAAGGGUGCGUAGACGGGUAUAUAAGUUAGUUGUGAAAUCCCUCGGCUCAACCGCGGAACUGCAUUUGAAACUGUUUUUCUUGAGUACCGGAGAGGUCAUCGGAAUUCCUUGUGUAGCGGUGAAAUGCGUAGAUAUAAGGAAGAACACCAGUGGCGAAGGCGGAUGACUGGACGGCAACUGACGGUGAGGCGCGAAAGCGUGGGGAGCAAACGGGAUUAGAUACCCUUGUAGUC